UACGUAGGGUGCGAGCGUUAAUCGGAAUUACUGGGCGUAAAGCGUGCGCAGGCGGUUUUGUAAGCCAGAUGUGAAAUCCCCGGGCUUAACCUGGGAAUGGCAUUUGGGACUGCAAGGCUUGAGUGCGGCAGAGGAGACUGGAAUUCCUGGUGUAGCGGUGGAAUGCGCAGAUAUCAGGAGGAACACCGAUGGCGAAGGCAGUUCUCUGGGCCGUAACUGACGCUGAGGAGCGAAAGCGUGGGGAGCGAACAGG
rnacentral:rRNA from 1 species